CGACGACGAAGCUUGCUUUGUCGGGCGUCGACCGGCGCACGGGUGAGUAACGCGUAUCCAACCUGCCGUUAACUUGGGGAUAGCCCGGUGAAAACCGGAUUAAUACCCGAUGUGUUCCGAAGAGAGCAUUUGAUUUGGAAUAAAGAUUUAUCGGUUAACGAUGGGGAUGCGUCCGAUUAGCUGGUUGGCGGGUUAACAGCCCACCAAGGCGACGAUCGGUAGGGGGUUCUGAGAGGAAGGUCCCCCACAUUGGAACUGAGACACGGUCCAAACUCCUACGGGAGGCAGCAGUGAGGAAUAUUGGUCAAUGGCCGAGAGGCUGAACCAGCCAAGUAGCGUGCAGGACGACGGCCCUAUGGGUUGUAAACUGCUUUUAUGCGGGGAUAAAGUCGGGCACGUGUGCUCGUUUGCAGGUACCGCAUGAAUAAGGACCGGCUAAUUCCGUGCCAGCAGCCGCGGUAAUACGGAAGGUUCGGGCGUUAUCCGGAUUUAUUGGGUUUAAAGGGAGCGUAGACGGCUUAUUAAGCGUGCAGUGAAAUGUCGGGGCUUAACCUUGGCACUGCUGCGCGAACUGGUUGGCUUGAGUGCGCGCGAGGUAGGCGGAAUUCGUGGUGUAGCGGUGAAAUGCUUAGAUAUCACGAAGAACUCCGAUUGCGAAGGCAGCUUACCGGAGCGUUACUGACGUUGAUGCUCGAAGGUGCGGGUAUCGAACAGGAUUAGAUACCCUGGUAGUCCGCACGGUAAACGAUGGAUGCCCGCUGUUGGCGAUAUACGGUCAGCGGCCAAGCGAAAGCAUUAAGCAUCCCACCUGGGGAGUACGCCGGCAACGGUGAAACUCAAAGGAAUUGACGGGGGCCCGCACAAGCGGAGGAACAUGUGGUUUAAUUCGAUGAUACGCGAGGAACCUUACCCGGGCUUGAACUGCAGGAGAACGAUACAGAGAUGUUGAGGCUACCUUCGGGGCUCCUGUGGAGGUGCUGCAUGGUUGUCGUCAGCUCGUGCCGUGAGGUGUCGGCUUAAGUGCCAUAACGAGCGCAACCCUUUUCCUUAGUUGCCAUCGGGUUAAGCCGGGCACUCUGGGGAUACUGCCGCCGCAAGGUGUGAGGAAGGUGGGGAUGACGUCAAAUCAGCACGGCCCUUACGUCCGGGGCUACACACGUGUUACAAUGGGUGGUACAGAGCGCAGGCAGCCGGUAACGUCUGUCGAACCGUUAAAUCCAUCCUCAGUUCGGAUUGGGGUCUGCAACCCGACCCCAUGAAGCUGGAUUCGCUAGUAAUCGCGCAUCAGCCAUGGCGCGGUGAAUACGUUCCCGGGCCUUGUACACACCGCCCGUCAAGCCA
rnacentral:rRNA from 1 species